rnacentral:rRNA from 1 species
UCCGACUUCAUGGGGUCGAGUUGCAGACCCCAAUCCGAACUGAGACCGGCUUUUUGGGAUUCGCUCCACCUUACGGUAUCGCAGCCCUCUGUACCGGCCAUUGUAGCAUGCGUGAAGCCCAAGACAUAAGGGGCAUGAUGAUUUGACGUCAUCCCCACCUUCCUCCGAGUUGACCCCGGCAGUCUCCCAUGAGUCCCCGGCAUAACCCGCUGGCAACAUAGGACGAGGGUUGCGCUCGUUGCGGGACUUAACCCAACAUCUCACGACACGAGCUGACGACAACCAUGCACCACCUGUGUACGAGUGUCCAAAGAGAACCCCGUCUCGGGGGCUUUCUCGUACAUGUCAAGCCUUGGUAAGGUUCUUCGCGUUGCAUCGAAUUAAUCCGCAUGCUCCGCCGCUUGUGCGGGCCCCCGUCAAUUCCUUUGAGUUUUAGCCUUGCGGCCGUACUCCCCAGGCGGGGCACUUAAUGCGUUAGCUGCGGCACGGAACUCGUGGAAUGAGCCCCACACCUAGUGCCCAACGUUUACGGCAUGGACUACCAGGGUAUCUAAUCCUGUUCGCUCCCCAUGCUUUCGCUCCUCAGCGUCAGUUGCGGCCCAGAGACCUGCCUUCGCCAUCGGUGUUCCUCCUGAUAUCUGCGCAUUCCACCGCUACACCAGGAAUUCCAGUCUCCCCUACCGCACUCUAGUCUGCCUGUACCCGAUGCAAGCCCGAGGUUGAGCCUCGGGAUUUCACACCAGACGCGACAGACCGCCUACGAGCUCUUUACGCCCAAUAAUUCCGGACAACGCUUGCGCCCUACGUAUUACCGCGGCUGCUGGCACGUAGUUAGCCGGCGCUUCUUCUGCAGGUACCGUCACUUGCGCUUCUUCCCUGCUGAAAGAGGUUUACAACCCGAAGGCCGUCAUCCCUCACGCGGCGUCGCUGCAUCAGGCUUGCGCCCAUUGUGCAAUAUUCCCCACUGCUGCCUCCCGUAGGAGUCUGGGCCGUGUCUCAGUCCCAGUGUGGCCGGUCGCCCUCUCAGGCCGGCUACCCGUCGACGCCUUGGUAGGCCAUCACCCCACCAACAAGCUGAUAGGCCGCGAGCCCAUCCCCCACCGAAAAACUUUCCAACCCACACCAUGCGAUGCGAGCUCAUAUCCGGUAUUAGACCCCGUUUCCAAGGCUUAUCCCGAAGUGGAGGGCAGGUUGCUCACGUGUUACUCACCCGUUCGCCACUGAUCCACCCAGCAAGCUGGGCUUCACCGUUCGACUGCA